rnacentral:rRNA from 1 species
GAUGAACGCUGGCGGCGUGCCUAAUACAUGCAAGUCGAGCGAACGGACGAGAAGCUUGCUCCUCUGAUGUUAGCGGCGGACGGGUGAGUAACACGUGGAUAACCUACCUAUAAGACUGGGAUAACUUCGGGAAACCGGAGCUAAUACCGGAUAAUAUUUUGAACCGCAUGGUUCAAAAGUGAAAGACGGUCUUGCUGUCACUUAUAGAUGGAUCCGCGCUGCAUUAGCUAGUUGGUAAGGUAACGGCUUACCAAGGCAACGAUGCAUAGCCGACCUGAGAGGGUGAUCGGCCACACUGGAACAGAGACACGGUCCAGACUCCUACGGGAGGCAGCAGUAGGGAAUCUUCCGCAAUGGGCGAAAGCCUGACGGAGCAACGCCGCGUGAGUGAUGAAGGUCUUCGGAUCGUAAAACUCUGUUAUUAGGGAAGAACAUAUGUGUAAGUAACUGUGCACAUCUUGACGGUACCUAAUCAGAAAGCCACGGCUAACUACGUG